AGGGCUGUAGCUCAGUGGUAGAGCAUCUGCCUUGCGUUUAGAAGGUCGCAAGUUCAAUUCCCACCUGCUCCA
rnacentral:tRNA from 1 species